AAAAAAGGAAAUUACAGUUGUUGUACUUACACACAAUUUUAUUGUAAGCUAAUUCAGAAAUACAAUUUUGUCAUCUAACAAAUAAAUUAAUGUUUGCCCAACUCAAUAUUCUCAGAAUUUGGUCAACAAGGAAAUUUGAUUCACCAAAACAAGAUUUUUUGUUUCCCUCAACUUUCUAACAAGAUUAGAAAGAUUCUAACACAAAAAAUUAAGUUUCCUCAACUGUAUGUUCAUGGACACGCCUACUACGGGGUUUCCUUCCUGUCUCCAUGGACAUACACAGGUCUCCACGAGUCGACCGUUCUACCAUUUUCCCUCGAAGUUGAGAGGAUUGCCAGACGUGAGAUUCAUAUCAGAUAUCUAAAGAAUUUUAUAGAGUCACCAGCAAAAACCUCCAUGAAACUUGGAAUGCAUCUCUUGACAAGUAUACGUCCCGCCUGAUAAAACUUUACCGAGCCAGGAAGACAGCUUUUGGUCAAGAUUUGGAAAAGUUACUGAAUUCACUUGAUGAAGAGACGGCAGACAUUGCGCGCCAUAGAAGGACGACAGCAUUGAGAGGCCUUCCCAUUUUUGUUAGAGAGGAUGCAUCAGAGUUCUUUCUGAAGUGCAUGAACACAGACCCUGAGGAAGAGGUGGUUGGAGGAGUGGCAGUUGCCAUACUGACUGUCUAUGACGAUGAUGAUGGCACCGAAUCCCCACCAGUGACUGAAAUCAAUGUCAUCUUGGAAGGGGCAGUUAUAAAACACGACCUACCUGACCUCGCUGCUGCCUUCGCCUACCUGUUUGGCCUAAUGUAUGCAAUGGACAUAAGCUAUCCAGAGAAGAUGAGGUACACCUUUGAGGCCAUCCAGACUAUCUUUUCCGAGCUUGGUUCAAGAUGCUCGCAGCGCACGCGAUCCUUGAAAGAGAAGCUUUUGCUGUGAAGCCUGUGUAUGAUUUACACUCACACACACAUACACACGAACGCACGCACGCCCAGCUCUGUCAUCACUCCUCCAUGAACAAGCCUACACCAGCUCUUUCACACACACACACACACACACACACACACACACACACACACACACACCAGUAGCCCAUUGA